rnacentral:lncRNA from 1 species
CAUGUAAAUUGUUCAUUUAAUAAUUUGUGUCUAUCUGGCAAUGAAAACACAAACAAAAAAAAAACACAAAAAAGCAAAAAAACAAACAAACAAAAAAAAACAAAAAAAACCCACAAAACCAACUCUCCUUACAUCCAUGUAACAUUAAGAGUAAAUGGGAAGGAAAUCCAUUUGAAGUUUUAAUUCUUUUCUAAUAACUCCCAUUCAUUUUGAAACUGUUCCUACUGGUAACCAGUGGCAACAGUUGAAUGCAAUUCAACUAGGGAAUGAAUGGAACAAACGUAACCCCUGGUUUGAUGACAUGUUUACAGGCUCUCCACUCCUCUCACUUGGGAACAUCAGAAUUGCCAUAAUGGAUCAGAAAAACAGGCUAUUUUGUGGUUAUCCUCUCUGACAAGGCCUGCAUCACAGCCUUUAGAAAGAAGUUUGCUUCUAGGUUAUCUGGCUCAGCUCUUACAGCCUGGGUCGCUCCGUCAGCUGUGCAGCGCCGACUCGACAAUAAAGAUUAUCUUGAAUUAGGGAGUGAGUUACUGGCGGGAGAGAGGCAGCCAGAGGAGAAACACUGAGGUUGUGUGAGGUUGUUGGGGAGCCACAGAUAACAGCUUUCGGGGCUUUAAUAAGUUCACGCGUGUGGCUGUGGGGAACUGUGAGAUGGGGUGCUCCCGGACACAUCCACGUGUCACCAGCAAAGGGGAUACUCAGCACCGGUGAUACCACAUCCUUUGGGAAUGGGACAUCAAGAAUAAUUCUCUGUGGAGCCUCCAGCAAGGGUCAAGCAAGGCACAGUGGAGAAUCAAGUCCUCAGAGUGCUUCCUAACGCGUCCCUGGAUCUGCACCGACAGCUGCACCGUACACCCACAGCAUGAGUGUACGGCGUUGGAGGGCUGUUUUUCUCAAACAAAGCAAGGCUUGCAGAAAGAGGAGGACAAUGAGGGUCCCAAUGCAAGGACAGCUCGAGCAUGUUGCCCAGGGCUGUGUUCAGCUGAUUUUACAGAAUGACUCUCCAAUGGGGGGACCACACAAUCACUCUGAGCAACCUCUUCCACUGCCUGACUACCCUCACAAUAAAAAAGUUUUUUUUUUUUUUCUUUCUCUAAA